rnacentral:rRNA from 1 species
GAUCCGAAGAUUUCCGAAUGGGACAACCCGGCAUUCUGAAGGAAUGUCAUCCAACUUGGUUGGAGGCUAACGCAGGGAACUGAAACAUCUUAGUACCUGCAGGAAAAGAAAAUAAAUAAUGAUUCCCCUAGUAGUGGCGAGCGAACGGGGAUUAGCCCAAACCACCCAUGUUACGGCAUGUGUGGGGUUGUAGGACCACGCUCUCGCAAGACAGUUAUUGAGAAGAAACGACUGGAAAGUCGUGCCAUAGACGGUGAUAGCCCGGUAUUCUAAGGUAACCGAAGCGUAGUGGUAUCCUGAGUAGCGCGGAGCACGAGGAAUUCUGCGUGAACCAGCCGGGACCAUCCGGUAAGGCUAAAUACUCCCGAGAGACCGAUAGCGAACCAGUACUGUGAAGGAAAGGUGAAAAGCACUUCGAAUAGAAGAGUGAAAUAGUCCCUGAAACCAUGCGCCUACAAGCGGUCGGAGCAGCGUAAGUUGUGACGGCGUGCCUUUUGCAUAAUGAACCUACGAGUUACUUUUUCCGGCAAGGUUAAGCAUCUUGAGAUGCGGAUCCGAAGCGAAAGCGAGUCUGAACAGGGCGGAUAGUCGGAAGGAGUAGACGCGAAACCAAGUGAUCUACCCUUGGGCAGGUUGAAGGUUAGGUAACACUAACUGGAGGACCGAACCGAUAAGCGUUGAAAAGCUUCCGGAUGACCUGAGGGUGGGGGUGAAAGGCUAAUCAAACUUGGAGAUAGCUCGUACUCCCCGAAAUGCAUUUAGGUGCAGCCUUGCGGGUUACUGAUGUGAGGUAGAGCGACUGAUAAGAUGCGAGGGCUUCACCGCCUAUCAAGUCUUGAUAAACUCCGAAUGCGCAUUAGUUCUAUCUCAGGAGUGAGGGCAUGGGUGCUAAGGUCCAUGUCCUAAAGGAGAAGAAUCCAGACCAUCAGCUAAGGUCCCCAAAUAAACACUAAGUUGAACUAACGAAGUCAGAUUGCUAAGACAGCUAGGAUGUUGGCUUGGAAGCAGCCAUUCAUUUAAAGAGUGCGUAACAGCUCACUAGUCGAGGAGUUUGGCGUGGAUAAUAAUCGGGCAUUAAGUGUUUUACCGAAGCUAUGGGAUACGUAAGUAUCGGUAGGGGAGCAUUCCACUCAGCGUUGAAGGCGAAGCGUGAGCUUUACUGGAGCGUGUGGAAAAGCAAAUGUAGGUAUAAGUAACGAUAAAGGGGGUGAGAAACCCCCUCGCCGCAAGACUAAGGUUUCCUGAUCAACGCUAAUCGGAUCAGGGUUAGUCGGGUCCUAAGGCUCAGCCGAACGGUGAGGCCGAUGGCAGAACAGGUUAAUAUUCCUGUACUACCUGUAAGAGUGAUGUGGAGACGGAGGAGUGACAACGCCGCGGACUGACGGAAUAGUCCGUUAAAGGGUGUAGAUGUUGAUUAUCCCAGGCAAAUCCGGGAUAAGAGUCGAACCUGACAGUAUACCAAUUUCCCCGGAAAACGGUAAUAGUGCGUGUAAACAUACUCCCAAGAAAAUCCGCUAAACUUAAUCUUACAGGUACCCGUACCGUAAACGGACACACGUAGUCGGGUUGAAUAUACUCAGGCGCUUGAGUGAAUCACGGUUAAGGAACUAGGCAAAUUGACCCUGUAACUUCGGGAUAAAGGGUCCCUACCCGGUGACGGGAGGGCGCAGAGAAUAGGUCCAGGCAACUGUUUAACAAAAACACAGGGCUGUGCAAAAUUGAAAGAUCACGUAUACAGCCUGACACCUGCCCGGUGCUGGAAGGUUAAGAGGAGAUGUCAUCGCAAGAGAAGCAUUGAAUUGAAGCCCCAGUAAACGGCGGCCGUAACUAUAACGGUCCUAAGGUAGCGAAAUUCCUUGUCGGGUAAGUUCCGACCUGCACGAAUGGUGUAAUGAUCUGGACGCUGUCUCAACCGUGAGCUCAGUGAAAUUGUAGUAUCGGUGAAGAUGCCGAUUACCCGCGAUGGGACGAAAAGACCCCGUGAACCUUUACUAUAGCUUAACAUUGAAUUUGGGUAAUUGAUGUGUAGGAUAGGCCGGAGACUUUGAAGCAGGCACGCCAGUGUUUGUGGAGUCGCUGUUGAAAUACGGCCCUUUGGUUAUUUGAGUUCUAACUCGCUGAUGCGAGGACACUGUUUGGUGGGUAGUUUGACUGGGGUGGUCGCCUCCAAAAGCGUAACGGAGGCUUCUA